AUGCUUAACACAUGCAAGUCGAACGGACUCUUUCGGGGGUUAGUGGCGGACGGGUGAGUAACGCGUGAGAAUCUGGCUUCAGGUUCGGGACAACAGAUGGAAACGUCUGCUAAUACCGGAUGUGCCGUGAGGUGAAAGGUUAACUGCCUGAAGAUGAGCUCGCGUCUGAUUAGCUAGUUGGUGGUGUAAGGGACUACCAAGGCGACGAUCAGUAGCUGGUCUGAGAGGAUGAUCAGCCACACUGGAACUGAGACACGGUCCAGACUCCUACGGGAGGCAGCAGUGGGGAAUUUUCCGCAAUGGGCGCAAGCCUGACGGAGCAAGACCGCGUGAGGGAUGAAGGUCUGUGGAUUGUAAACCUCUUUUGACAGGGAAGAAGAACUGACGGUACCUGUCGAAUCAGCCUCGGCUAACUCCGUGCCAGCAGCCGCGGUAAUACGGAGGAGGCAAGCGUUAUCCCGGAAUUAUUUGGGCGUAAAGCGUCCGUAGGUGGCGAUAUAAGUCAGUUGUUACAGCAUGGAGCUUACUCCAUCAAGGCGAUUGAAACUAUGUUGCUAGAGUGCGAUAGGGGCAAGGGGAAUCCCAGUGUAGCGGUGAAAUGCGUAGAUAUUGGGAAGAACACCGGUGGCGAAAGCGCCUUGCUGGGUCUGCACUGACACUGAGGGACGAAAGCUACGGGAGCGAAAGGGAUUAGAUACCCCUGUAGUCCUAGCCGUAAACGAUGGAUACUAGGCGUUGUCCGUAUCGACCCGGGCAGUGCCGUAGCUAACGCGUCAAGUAUCCCGCCUGGGGAGUACGCUCGCAAGAGUGAAACUCAA
rnacentral:rRNA from 1 species